AGCGAACGCUGGCGGCAGGCCUAAAACAUGCAAGUCGAACGCCCGUAGCAAUACGGGAGUGGCAGACGGGUGAGUAACACGUGGGAACGUGCCCUUUGGUCCGGAACAACCCAGGGAAACUUGGGCUAAUACCGGAUAAGCCCUUACGGGGAAAGAUUUAUCGCCAAAGGAUCGGCCCGCGUCUGAUUAGCUAGUUGGUGGGGUAACGGCCCACCAAGGCUACGAUCAGUAGCUGGUCUGAGAGGAUGAUCAGCCACACUGGGACUGAGACACGGCCCAGACUCCUACGGGAGGCAGCAGUUAGGAAUCUUGGACAAUGGGCGCAAGCCUGAUCCAGCCAUGCCGCGUGAGUGAUGAAGGCCUUAGGGUUGUAAAGCUCUUUCAGCGGGGAAGAUAAUGACGGUACCCGCAGAAGAAGCCCCGGCUAACUUCGUGCCAGCCGCCGCGGUAAGAC
rnacentral:rRNA from 1 species